GAAACCUUUACACUGCACGCCAGYGGAAUUAAGGGGACCCCGAGUGCGAGGGCAUACUAGCCCUCGCUUUUCUCCACCGUAGGAGGUGGAGGAACAAGAGCUGGGCAAGACCGGUGCCAGCCGCCGCGGUAAUACCGGCAGCCCGAGUGAUGACCGAUAUUAUUGGGCCUAAAGCGUCCGUAGCCGGCCACGCAAGUCCGUCGGGAAAUCCAGUGGCUCAACCACUGGGCGUCCGGCGGAAACUGCGUGGCUUGGGACCGGAAGGCUCGAGGGGUACGUCCGGGGUAGGAGUGAAAUCCCGUAAUCCUGGACGGACCACCGAUGGCGAAAGCACCUCGAGAAGACGGAUCCGACGGUGAGGGACGAAAGCUGGGGUCUCGAACCGGAUUAGAUACCCGGGUAGUCCCAGCCGUAAACGAUGCCAGUUAGGUGUGGCAGAGGCUACGAGCCUCUGCUGUGCCGUAGGAAGCCGAGAAACUGGCCGCCUGGGAAGUACGUCCGCAAGGAUGAAACUUAAAGGAAUUGGCGGGGGAGCACUACAACCGGAGGAGCCUGCGGUUUAAUUGGACUCAACGCCGGACAUCUCACCAGCUCCGACUACAGUGAUGACGGUCAGGUUGAUGACCUCGCCACGACGCUGUAGAGAGGAGGUGCAUGGCCGCCGUCAGCUCGUACCGUGAGGCGUCCUGUUAAGUCAGGCAACGAGCGAGACCCGCACUCUUAAUUGCCAGCAUCGGGUUUCCCGGAUGGGUACAUUAAGAGGACUGCCGCUGCUAAAGCGGAGGAAGGAACGGGCAACGGUAGGUCAGUAUGCCCCGAAUGAGCUGGGCUACACGCGGGCUACAAUGGCCAGGACAAUGGGUUCCCACCUCGAGAGAGGACGGUAAUCUCCGAAACCUGGUCGUAGUUCGGAUUGUGGGCUGAAACUCGCCCACAUGAAGCUGGAUUCGGUAGUAAUCGCGUUUCAGCAGAGCGCGGUGAAUAC
rnacentral:rRNA from 1 species